rnacentral:lncRNA from 1 species
UGAAAACCCAUCUCUAUAAAAAAUACAGAAAUUAGCUGGGUGCGGUGGCACAUGGCUGUAGUCCCAGCUACUUGGCAGGUAGCUGAAGUGGGAGGAUCACUUGAGCCUGGGAGGUUGAGGCUGCGGUGAGCCAAGAUUGAGCCACUGCACUCCAGCCUGGGUGACAAAGAAAGACCCUGUCGAAGAAGAAGAAGCAGCAGCAGCAGAAAAAGAAGAAGAAGAAGAAGCAGAAGAAGCAGAAGAAGAAGCAGAAGAAGAAGAAGCAGAAGAAGAAGAAGAAGAAACAAAGGGGAGGAUGCAACUUGGAGAGGUGAGAGUCCAGUUCAUUGAGUCAACAAUUAUUUUAUAAGUGCCCAGCCCCUAGGAGAAAGCCUAACUGCAGUAAAGGAGUCCUGGAGACAGGACAAGAAUGAAGUCAAUGAAGCAUAGCAGGAGUGGAGAUAAAGGUGCUUUCUUGGGCCUCACUGCCCUGGGGUGACUUAUCCAGUUAAUUUUUUUCCCUCCUCC